CAAAACUUCAAAAAUAGGUCUCAGUUCGGACUGUAGGCUGCAACUCGCCUACACGAAGUUGGAAUUGCUAGUAAUCGUGGAUCAGCAUGCCACGGUGAAUACGUUCCCGGGUCUUGUACACACCGCCCGUCACACCAUGGGAGCUGGUAACACCCGAAGUCAGUAGUCUAACCGCAAGGAGGACGCUGCCGAAGGUGGGAUUAGCGACUGGGGUGAAGUCGUAACAAGGUAGC
rnacentral:rRNA from 1 species